GAUGAACGCUGGCGGCGUGCCUAAUACAUGCAAGUCGAGCGAACAGAUAAGGAGCUUGCUCCUUUGACGUUAGCGGCGGACGGGUGAGUAACACGUGGGUAACCUACCUAUAAGGCUGGGAUAACUUCGGGAAACCGGAGCUAAUACCGGAUAAUAUUUCGAACCGCAUGGUUCGAUAGUGAAAGAUGGUUUUGCUAUCACUUAUAGAUGGACCCGCGCCGUAUUAGCUAGUUGGUAAGGUAACGGCUUACCAAGGCGACGAUACGUAGCCGACCUGAGAGGGUGAUCGGCCACACUGGAACUGAGACACGGUCCAGACUCCUACGGGAGGCAGCAGUAGGGAAUCUUCCGCAAUGGGCGAAAGCCUGACGGAGCAACGCCGCGUGAGUGACGAAGGUCUUCGGAUCGUAAAACUCUGUUAUUAGGGAAGAACAUACGUGUAAGUAACUGUGCACGUCUUGACGGUACCUAAUCAGAAAGCCACGGCUAACUACGUG
rnacentral:rRNA from 1 species